GACGUAGGGCGCGAGCGUUGUCCGGAUUUAUUGGGCGUAAAGAGCUCGUAGGCGGCUCAUUGCGUCAACCGUGAAAACCAGCAGCUCGACUGUUGGCUUGCGGUUGAUACGGGUGGGCUGGAGUUCGGUAGGGGAGACUGGAAUUCCUGGUGUAGCGGUGAAAUGCGCAGAUAUCAGGAGGAACACCGGUGGCGAAGGCGGGUCUCUGGGCCGAUACUGACGCUGAGGAGCGAAAGCGUGGGGAGCGAACAGG
rnacentral:rRNA from 1 species